CUUCGAUUAUUUGUUUCUCCACCAAAAUUCAACCACCCUUUUGAAUAAAUCUCAUUUAUCCCUAUAGGGUCUCUUAUAAUGGACCUAUCAAAAAAAGGUGUUAGAUAUUGAGGUAAUGACAAAGAGGGUGUGUUUUUUUCAAGGUUGGAACAAAAAUAAGACCAAGCUUUCAUAAACAAAGUUGAAGAUUUUCCAUCAACAGCUGCAUGGUGUGUGGUUAUACCAAUACAAAAUCCAUGGUUAGGAAAAAAAGUGACUUGUAGUGAAAUAAUUGAUGCUUUUUCAUGUGAAAUUUCCAAACUUGGGAUCAAGUGUUGUUUUUUUUCAACUUCACAAAGAUUUGAACAUAAAAGGUUGAAAUUUUCAUUUGAUUCAGCUACAAUCAAUAGAAUGGAAUCACUAGGGACAUAGUUGAUGAUAGGGUGUGGUGAAUCUUGUGGCCAUGUGAUGUUACCAACAAGAAGGAGGAAGUGGUUGAGUGUGAGCUCAAGGGAAUGUUUGAGAUUUGGAAGAAUGGAAUCAAAGAAAAAAUUGGUAGAUAAAUUGGUGUGUUCAUAGAAGAACAAACGUUCAACCGGUGGAAAUCUUACCCAAAGUGUGUCAAAGAAAGUGAAGGGAAAAGUAGUUGGGGAGGUUUCAUUUUUUGGUGAUAUUGAAAAAACUUGAUGAACUUUGUGAGAUUGUGCCAUAAGGGAGGGAAGAAAUUGAUGAGGAAGUGAGGCUUGGCAAUUUGUUGACUUUAUAAACAGUUUAUGAUGAUGACGAUGAUGAUACAUAGGCUAUGAAUGUGCUCUCAAUAUAAUAAUAAUAAUAAUAAUAUAAUAAUACAUUCUUUAUAAAUCAAUUCCUUAAGGUAUCCAAUUUAUUUGCAUACAAAUAGUGCAUACAAACAAUUUCAACACUAAUAGUGCAUACAAAUCAAUUCCUUAAGGUAUCCAAUUUAUUUGGAGGAAAGAUGUCCCGUUUAAGAUAUCGGUAUUUGCUUGACGACUUUUUCGUAAUAGAUUGUCUACGAAUGAUAAUUUAUUUUAAAGGAGGAUUAUAUAGGAAUAUGCUCAGUUGUGUGCUUCUGGAUGUGGGAUGUUUGAAUCGGCGGAUCACCUAUUUUUGCAUUGCGAUGUGUUUGGUCAGGUUUGACAACUUGUUCGUCAUUGGUUAGGUGUUUCUUCAAUAAACCCAUUAACCACCUCGGAUCAUUAUCUUCAGUUUUGUAUUUCUUCUGGUUUUGCUAAUUCCAGAUGCUCUUUUAUGCAUUUAGUAUGGUUUGCAAGCAUUUGGGCAAUUUAGAAGGAAAAGAAUGCAAGAAUAUUUUGUGUAAAAGAAUCAUAAGUUCAAAUCUAGGUCACCACAUUUCACCUCGCUUAUGUGUGUGUUUAUUUGAAUAUUUGUUGGUGACUAAGCUAAUAAAAAAAAUACGCAGUAAGAUUCAAUAACAUGAUUUUUUAGUUUGUACAAAAAAAACAUAAUUUUUUAGUUUCCUCCUUGUUUUUUAGGACGAAGGAGGGUGCAAGAUAAUUAAAGUGGCUUCUUAUAAUUUUUUAUUUUAUAACAAUGAUAGUUUUAUUAAAUGCUAAAACUGUUUAAACAUUCAAUAUAUUAAGUUUUUUUUUUUGUUACGGUCAAUGCUUUUCUUAGUGUCAAUAUUAAAGAUAUAAAAAAAAAAAAAUUAAAAAACCGUUUAUGGGAUUUUAUUCUUCAUUAUUGAAGGCUGGAUCUAACCUAAGGAUCCAUCUAGACUUCAUAACGUGCAAAUCAAUAUUAGUUAAUGAUCUAGUCACGAUGAUUAUUUAUACUCAGUGUCUUACAUACUUCAAAUAUACUUAACUUUACUAGAGGAAACCUAAAACUUAUUUUCUCUGAUCACAUUUAUAGUAGAUAUUCGUCCGUUAUUUAAUUAAUCUAGAAAAUGAAUAGUUGUUUAUAAUUUUUGUUUUGGUAGUGUAUAGUUGUUUAUUAUUUUUUUUGACAAAAAUAAAAUGAUAUUCAUUCAUUCAAAUCGAGAGAUUACAUCAUUCAACACCGCUAAAAACGUAAAGGAUGAAUCUGCGAACAAACUUACAUCAUCUAAGUUAAUAGCAUAUAACAACAUAAUGCCUACAAAAAUAUAUGAUAAAAUUAAAGUGAUCGGAAUAUCCAUGACCUCCGAAUCUGCAACGUUGAUGCCCAAAUCUUUGAUUGAAUAAUCGAUCUUUCAAUAUGAAUCAAAUGAACACCUCACGAAGACGGGAAAUCAAACAACACCGCACAAGACGACGAACAACAAACCACCACACUUAGAUGAUGAAAUCACAAAGGAAAAACAAAAAAACCUAGAUCUAUAUAUGUGAAAAUCACUUAUUUAGAUUGAAAUAGAGAGAAAAGAUGAAGAUGAGUGAUUUCAGGUCAAGAAUUGACCCAAAACCACCCCUCAAUGGAGAAACUGUAAGAGAAAACCUAAAGAGAUAAAACUAGAUUUGCCUUAUUAGUGUAUAGUUGUUUAUAAAUGUAACAAGAAUUUUAUAUUUUUAAUGUCAUAUAGUUUUUUUGUUAUAUCACUAACAACAUAGCCUUAAUAUUUAAUACUACUAAUUUUAUUUUUUUUGAAAGAAUUUAAUACUACUAUUUUGAAAACUCGUAUAACAUGCAUUCAAUGAAGGGCGUAAGCCCUCUUUUACCACAAAAAAAAAAACUCGUAAUGGAUGUUGCUAUCAACGUAGUCGUGAGUCUAUGAGAAACGAAUCUUAAUUGUUGAGUUAGGUCAAUACAUUUGUCUCACCAACUCCGUCAUAUGCAUCCAAGCAGGCAGGCAGCUGUAUAUCAUUUGGAUUUGGAAGCUUCUUUUCUACUUUUGAAAAUCAUUUCUAAAAUAUACUAAAAAAUUUAAAAAUUUAUGUCAUUCUAAGACAAAAAUACUUUUUUAUUUAUUUCCAAAAUACAUUUUUUUAUGUGAAAAAAUAUAUUUUCAUAUUUGUGGUAGGAGAGAGAAGCUCUCAUUUCAUUUAACAUAUUUUAAAAGAGAUAUUUGAGUCAAAAAAAAUUAAUGUAUCUGAUCAAAAUAAAACCAAAUACAUCUAUCCGUUGAUUUAAAUGUUUUUUAUAUCUAUAAUUGGGAUUGUAUGAACUUAGUUUUUCAUUUUGUAUGGCAAGCAUAUGAGUUAUGUCCACACUUUUAUUAUCGCAAAAUUAAAUGACGUGGUAGUUAACAAUUGUUUCAAUGUUGUUUUUCAUUUGAAUUAAACAUUCAAGACAUUGUUUAGUUUUAUCUUCUUUCUAAUGUACUUUUAGUUGCUUCAUCAUGUAUAAUAUUAUAUAUGUUAGACAAAUCUCUCUAUUUGCUAAAAAAAAAGAGACAAAUCUCUCUAUCUCCAUGUAUAUUCCAUACUUAAAGCUUAUCUCUAUGUAUAUUCUAUACUUAAUGCUUAUUUUUGUCUAAACUUAAUCUUAGCUUGGCUCAGAUGGCUCAUAUAUGUCAAUGUAUUUUGAUAGUUGCGGCUGUGUUGAAUUGUAAAUUUAAAACAUUUUAAUAUAUGGGGUUUAAGUUGAUUUUAAUUAAUUAUGUGUUGAUGGUACGUGAGUCGACUUCGUGUUAACGAUCGAUUCAUUUGCUAAAUGUUAGAUCCGAGCUUGAUUGUUAGAAUUGUUUAAGAUUGGAUCUACUUUAUGGAUAUUUUAGGGUUGUUGACCGAGUCAGGUUUUAUGUCCCUCCAAUUUUUAUGUAUUUUUUAAUAAUAUAUAUGAAUAAUUGACACUGAUUAGAGUAACAUACCAACUUAGUUGGACACUAUUCCUUUUUAUGUCAUUUUACUCUUAGCUUAUAAAAAAUUUAAUCAUGUGUUUUUUUUAUAAAAUAUUUUCUUUCAAAAACAAAAAUCUUAAGAAAAAAAGUGAUGUUAACAAAGAAAAAGGGGUUAAAAUCCUCUCCAUUCACUAUUUAUUUUUUGUUCAUUGAGGUGACAAAACAAAAGACCAGCACUAGGAGUAUCAAUAUAGCAAUGCAAGGGGGAGUUGGAAGUAAAGAAAUUGUCACGUUUUCCAACUAAUAGCAUGUUUGGAUUUAUGUUGCAGUGCCUUUUUCGAGUCUCAUUGCGUUCUAGACGUGAUAAUAAAGAAGCUUUAAUUUGUAGAGUUUGGAAAAACGUACGUUUGGUGGUAUCCCACUGUGGAAACAAACACAAGUUAAAGGAGGAACAACGGCAAACACUUUGUGAAACAAUUGAGCUUAAGACGUUUUGGUGAUUGAAAUCAAAAUAUAUUACAUUCGAUUUUGAUUACUAUUUUUUGAAGGAUUAAUCAUAUUCAUUGUUUGUCUUUUUUUUUAAGAGCAAUGAUACAUGGACAUUCCCAUGUGGCAUACCACCAUCUACACCCUUCCAUGUGGCAUUUUUUUAUUAGUUAUAAUGGGCAAUUUUGUCUUUAAAAAUAAAAUGAGGGGCAAUUUUGUCCAAUACACUCACAACAACUUUCUCACCCUCUCUUUUCUGUCUUUCUUCUCCUUUACCGGCCACCACCACCAACUCCCACCGGCCACCGUUGUCCUCCGUCCUCAACCUCAAAUAUCACAUCUACCACCACCAUCGCCACCGUCCAAAAGCUAGAUCUCACAACCGUCGCCCUCGUCUCGAAGCUCAGAUCUCACCACCACUGCAGCCACCACAACCACCGUCAUUUUCAGAUCUAAACACACCCAUCGAUCGUCAUCAUUAACCUCUCAUCUCGACGCCUCCACCACCACCGUCCUCGCACUCUUUCUCCAAAACACAACAACAACAAUUUUAAACAAACCCAAAACAAGAGACGGCGAUGGCGUCGGAAUUUGAGGAAACAAGUGGCAGAGAGAAAGAGGUGAGGGAGAAGAGAGAAAUAGAGACAACCAUUUGAGGAGAAGGAGAGAAAAAAAUCAGAAUAGAGAGAUAUGAGGAGAAAGAGGAGAUCGGCAGGAAGAGAGAAGGAGAAAAUAAAAUUAGGGAGAGAGAAAGAUGAGAUAAGAUUUCAGGGGAGAGAGUGACAAAAAAUUUAAAAUUAAAAUGCCAUGUAGGAGGUGUACAAUGUGGUAGAGAAAAAAGGAGGUCUAUGAUGUAUCCUUUUUCUUUUUUUAAAGUUGUUCCUCUCUUUUUUUGCUUAUCCUUUAUUGAAUUUGUGAUGUAACAUUGUAACUCUUGUAAGUUUUUCCGAUAAACCUUGAGUUGGAAGGAGAAAUAAUACAAAGGUAAGGGACAUAGACCAAACCCACAAUGAACAUAAGGAAAUUUAUGAUUAUGCAAAGUUGAAUAUAUUCAUAAAGAAAUCCACCUACAAAAGCUUUGUCAUCGCAUUCCACCAACUAAAAUCAGAAAUGAUCAUACAAAUGAAACUAACCAAAAUAUGAAAAUUCUAUUAAUGAUGAUAUAAGUAUCUACCGAGUUCCCUUAAAAAAAAUAGUCUAUACCGAGUCCAAAACAACUAAAAUACUCGUAUGAGUUUAUACAAAUAAGUACUCCGUCCUAAAUUAUAAGUAAAAAAAACCUAUUUUCUUUGUCCCAAAUUAUAAAUAAAAAAGACUAACUUUUAUCAUAUUCAAAUAUGUUUUUUUAAAAAAUUAUCUUUUUCAAAGGAAAAUUAAAUGCAAAAUGCAUUCAAUUUGCUCUCAUUUUCAUUUUCUCUAUAAUCAACUACCAAUGAAAAUUAUUUUUACAUCUUCCUAUAAAACUUAUUUCAAAGAUAACACAAAAAACUAUGUUACAAACUACUACCUAUAUUUUAAUUUUUUUAAUAAAUGUGAUUUAUGUUUUUUUGCUUAUAAUAUAAAACGGAGGGAGUAUAUUCAUUAAUUUAACCAAGAAUGGUGUACUGUACCCAACAUAUUUAAAGUGUAUCAGUUCAGUUCAUCAAGAAUGAUUAAACACAUAUUUUAUCAUUAUUUAUGAAUCAUAUGCAUGAUUCGAUUAAUUAAUUGAGACUAAAUUAGAUAUUUAGUUUCAUAAUUGAUUUUAUAGUUUUAUUUGGUCUCAUAACUACAACUACUUGCGCAUUGGUCCCUAAAAUAGAUUUUCGUUAGUGGUCUCAUUAUGUCAAUUUAAACCUCAAAUGUUUAAGGUGGAUCAACAUUGUAGGUACUACAAUAGAUCUCAUUAUAUAUAUAAUUUUAACCAUUAUAUUUUUUUAUAAAAAAUGGGGAUCAUUGGAUAUCAUGUAGAUCUAUUAUAUCUUAUCGUAAACUAUAACACCCUACUUCUAUUAAAGCAAUUAAACAUGCGAAUAAUACAUUUAUUCAAGAAAUAGAGGCUACGCCACAUUCAAAAUUCAAAAAACCAAUAAACAUGUAUAUAAACCUCAACAGUCGCAGCGGAAUAUUAACCAGAGUAAAUCCAAGUAUACAUGUUAUGAAUCAAUAAAUUACAUCAACAUCGAUGCAUCUCAAAAAUCCCAACAAACGGGUAAUCUCCAAUCAUAACAAAAUCCAAAAUAUAAGAUAAUCUAGACCGACACAACGAAGCCUAGAUCAGAGCCGACUAAACAUCUAAACACCGAUAUCGGAGAAAGCUCGCGAUAUCCACCAAGCACAAUACUCACCAAGCAUCCUACACUUGCACAACGUCUACCCAUCCAUACAGAUAGGCAGGCGGUCCAUAACAGAUCCACUGGGGGUAAGUAUUACAUUAUCAUAAUACAAAUAACAAAUAACAUAAAUAUUUCAAUUUAAACAUCAUGCAAUUGAUCAAUAAUAAUAACACAUUAAUACUUACAUCACACCCCGAUAUCUCACAUCAAUAUUCAUCAAUCAUAUGAACAAUUAUCAAUUUACAAAUAUUCAUUCACAAUCACCAAUCACAUUUAUCAUGAAUAAUCAUUAAUCACAUUUCAUGAACAAUCACCAAUUACAUGUAUCAUGAAUAAAUAUCAAUUAACAGUUAUUCAUACACAAUCACCAAUCAUAUACAUCAUGAACAAUCACCAAUCAUAAGCCAUGAACAUUCACCAAUUACAUUUCAUGAACAAACAUCAUUCACAUGUAUCACGUACAAUCAUCAACACAAGUAUCAAGGGCAAUCAUCAAUCACAUACAUCAUUUAAGACUCAUGUCAUGAUAUGCACUUAUUGACACAUAAAUGCAUGUGGUACCAAAUCUCAACAAGGUCGUCACCUUUCGAUGCCACUUGCACAUCGUAUGUAAGGCUCACACCUGCCUUACAAUAAUCUCGAAGUAAAAGAGCUCAACCCUUUUACAACAACAUCGACUAUGAUGCAUGGACAUGUAUAAGGACUCGAUAAUGCGACAACAAUUAACAAUCUCAACCUCAAUAUAUAGGACAACACCCAAUUAUAUUGAUUAUCUCCACAACAUUGCAUUAUCAAGAAAACAUGCCCACACAAAUAAAUCAUAGCAUUCACCAUCACACCUCAACAUGAUUAUCAAUAAUCAACAAUGUCAUCCAACAUCAACUAUCACAUAUAGUUUCACCAUUUCAAACAAUUCUCAUAUUCCAAGUAAGAGAACAUACAACAUCUCAUGACAAAUAUCAUAUCCAACAUAUAAUCAUUCAACAUCAACUAUCACAUAUAGUUUCACCAUUCAAGCAUUCCUUACAUUCUAAGUAAGAUAGCAUACACAUCUCAUGAUAAACAUCAUAUCCAAUACAAUCAUUCAUUCAAACAUCUUCACUUAGUCAUAUAAGGAUAGUCACGAUAGAUUAUAAGAAAAUUGGUUCAAAGGAAACAUUUCCGACAAAAACCGUAUCAAGUGGCAAAAGGCCAACAUUGAUAAUUCCCAAGACAAAGCAACUUAGACAAAUUGAAAGCUCUCAAAAAAUCUUAAUCAAUAAUGUAGUCAUGAGCUUAAGCCACUUACAAACUAUUAGACAUCAGUUCAAAGAAUAACUUAAGUUCGUAUGAGAAAACCCAAUUUCACAAUCUUUCACAUUCCCAUCCGAAAUAUCAUUUUUGACAUGAUUAAGAUGUUUGACCAACCAUACAAGUCUUACCUAAGUCUAUAAGAGAUGUAGGUUUAACUUGUAAUCCUAUUUAGUUCACAAAAGUUCAUUUUGACAAAAUCCGACAUUUCCUAAAAUUCCAAGUUCCAUAUCAUUUCUUCCAUAUUUCAAAACCAAUUCAUUUUCAAAACAAAAACCAAGUUAGGAUCAAGCUAUGAUACUCUUAGAAGCUUAAUUAUAAAUUGAUUGAAUAAGGUUAAGAGUUUGGAAUCCAUUGGCAUGCUUAAAAGUACACAAAAACACGAAAAAACGAGGUUUCGGAAUUCUGCAGAACUGACACGGUCGUGCCAUCAGGAAGCACGGUCGUGCUCCCUUUACAGGAGAAACUGACACGGUCGUGUCAUCUAGACGCACGGUCGUGUCACCUCACCAGUACAGCAAAAUGCAUUUUUACGUUUUUGCGCAUAAAAUCUUGUUUUCGAAUCCGAUUUCAAUUCCGUUUUCGCCAAUGAAUUCCUAACACUUAGACCAUACAAACCACACUUGAAAACUUGACAUUUAAACAUUAAAACAACUUAAUCAACUCAUCCCAAAAUGACUUAUUUUGCAAAAGCACUUAAAAACCACUUUUACUCAAAAACCCGUUUUCUUCCCAAAACGAUUUCUCUCCAAAACCAAGUGAUUAAAACAGAAAAUCAUACCAUCAUAAUUCAUUAUAACAACUUCCUUAUCUCAUUCAACAUCAUCAAAAUCAAACUUCUUCUUUAUCAACCCAUUUUACAAAACCACCAACAACAACUCAUUUUCUCAACAACAAUCAUGAUAUAUGAACACCCAAGCCAAAAUUCAUGAUCAACAACAUAUCUCAGCAACAACAACAUCAAUUGAAACUUGAUUCACACACCAAUUCAACAACAACAUGUCAUAAGUCAUCAAUUAAGCAUAAUUUCACAACAACCCAUUUUCAUACAUUAUGAACAUAUUAUUUCAUCAUCAACCAUUCAUUUAACAUCAAAUAACAUAUCCAAACAUAUCUCUACAACAUAAGCACGAAUUUCAAAGAUUGGGUUCAUGAUAAUCACUUAUUCUCAUAAUCAAUUAUGCAUAAAAUCAAGAGAAAAAGAAUUAAACAAAUGAUUAUGAUAAAGACUAACCCCCUUACCUUUGAAGAUGAUUAUUCCUAAACUCUUGCUUCAAUUCAGCUCCUAAUCUUACCCCAAUUAUUCCUCAAGCUAUUCUCUUCAAAACCCUUGUUCUUCUCAUCACCUCUUUCUCUCUCUAGGAAAAUUUUAGUGAAGUGAACGAAAGAUAUUUUCUAUGACAACCCUAAUGUUAUCUCCCUUAAUGGGCUUAACUCAAAAUGCUAAUGGGCCUAACCCAUUCUAACAUAAUUCUAAAAAGUUUCUAUACACCCCACGGUAAUUACUAACAACGGUAAAACAUAACCAACUGUCACUAACGGUAAAAACUAAUCACAACACUAGUAACUUAGUAAAAUAAGGGUUCUCACUUAAUAUGAAAAUAAUUCUCACCCAAAUUACCAUUUUACCCUUACCCGUCAAAUGACCAAAAUACCCUCCUAAUACGGAAAUCCAUGUAAAUGCACCCACUGACAAUUAAUUACACACAAGCACCAAUAAUCACACACAAACACAUAAUAAAAGUAAUUAAAAUAAAUCUAGCUAAAAAUCGGGCUGUUACAUAAACCACCAACAAUUAAUUUUUUAUUUUUGUUUUAAAAAAAUAAUAAUUUACUUUUCUUCAUCUUCUUCCUCCAUCUUCUUCUUCCUCAUCUUCUUACACAUUCAAACCUAUAAAAUAAAGCUGAAUUUUUUUUUUAUAAACUUGAUCUUCAUCUCUUCUUCUCUCAAAAGUUUAAAACUCAAUUCAUUUUUAUAAAAACUCAAAUUCAGGAGUUUCCCUCCUUCCAAAUACUUCAAAACAAACCAUUUAUUAAGAAAGUGAGAAAGAGAGAAAUGAUUCAUUAACUUGAAUAGAAGUUCAUGAAGGUAUUUUUAUACAUUUCUCAAAUGUACUAUAUAUCUAAGAUGAAGUGUACUACAUAAAAUAACCUAAUUGUACAACACUAGCUUUGUGACUUGUACUGCAAGCUAUCUUCAUUCUCAUGCUUUUUAUCCUUUGAAUCUAAUAGCAUUCGAAUUAGAUGCAAACAAGACUGAGUAUUUUCGGAGAAUAAAGCAAAGCCACCAGACUAAAUAGAAUGAUCAACAACAAAAUUAGAACUAAAUCCUAAAUUUUAUCAGAAAAUUCACAUUCAAAAAACAAAUGAUUAACAGUUUCAUCUUUUCAAAAAAACAAUUUCAUCUUUCUCACAUCCUAUAGUAAUAACAAGAGAUUCAGAACGAAGAAUCUCACGACGAACUAAAUUGGCCUUUGUAGAAAUCCUAUUAUUGAGAAGCCACCAAUCAAACAAGGACAAUUUCAACAAAGUUGUUUUAUUCCAACUAACAUUCAAGAGAGCUGAAGAUGUUGGAUAAAUUAUUUAAUUAAUCAAUUAUAAAUUGAUUCUAACAAAUUUUCAGAAAUUAUUUUUAAUACUACUAUAAAUUAUGGUACAUUAAUGUUUUAAGAAUUAAGUAAUUGAUGAAUAUGUGUGUUAGACUCUUUUUCUGAAUGGACAUGAUGGAUCAAACCAUACAAUUAAGCUCAAUUCGAGGUUCGUGUCCUCGAUCGUUUAACUAAUUCAAAGUCAUCCUAUCAAACGGUUAAACAUAAAACAAUAAUGUAAUAUGUGUAUGCAUUCAUGAUCUAUCUUUGAUAAUGUAAAAUAUAUGUUGUAAUUUGUAUUUUGAUAUGGCUAACUCUGUUAAAUUCAACAAUGGUAUCGGAGAAAAAAUAUAUAUUUUAUGGGUAUUUGUUUUUGAAUCGUCUGAACGGAAUAUGUUUUCCCCGUAUACUUAUUUUCAAUUGUUUGCAUGGGGCUAUUGUAUUGUUUGUUAAACCCUAUGAAGAAAAUUGUUAGAAGGGCUAUGAUGUACUACUGUCGUACUGAGAGAUGUCAAUGAAUGACUAAUGGUUAGAAGGGUUUACGAAAUUCCUUGGAGUCACUGCUGAUUAUUAUAUGGUUGAAUUAUGGGGAAUUUAUGAGCGUCUUUGCAUAGCAAGACUCUUUGGUAGUUGUUUAGAACACAAGGCAUGAGAAUAAUGAUAGUGUUAUGGAUAUAAAUCUUAUGAAGAAAAUCGUAGUGUGAGAAUCAAACUUUAAAUCUUGAGAAAGAGUACAUUUCAAAAAUCCAAGUCAAAACCAUCAGUGAGAAAGUCGAAUGAGUCAAACUAAGAGAUUUUGAUCACUCAUGUGUCUCAAAAAGCUAACAUGAGUUAUAAAAUUUUGAAUUUUUUUCACAGUCAUAUUUAGUUCAUUAUAAAAUUUUGAUUUUUUUUCACAGUCUUAUUUAGUUCAUUAUAAAAUUUUCUCUUACAAAAGUUUAAGUUUUUUAAAAAUGAAUGAAUUAAAUGUUAAUUUUUUACGUUUUGCUGCUUUAAAAUUCAUAUUUUGUUAAAAAAAAUCUUUUUUUUUUUCAAUCAAAAGAAAAUAUAAAAAAAAGAGGAAAUAGAAAAGCUAAGGGGGCAUAAACCUGACUCAACAAUCACAUAAUCAACCCAUAAAGCGUAUUACAACAGUGAUUAAACAAAAGUGGUAUAAAGAUACAAAUGCUUUGCGGUCAAAUACACAAGUACAAUUCGGCAAACCCAACGCGGGAUACGAAACCAAAUUUCAAAAGAAAGUGACGUAAAAAACAACAAGCAUAACCAUCAAACCAGACUAGAGACGAAUCUAAAUGAAAUUCAAACUCUUUUUUUUUUUUUUUUUUGUGGCGUAUGAACUGCCGCCAACACGGACAGAUUCACUGACCACCUACCGCUACAAAUAAAGACAGCAAGCAUCGCGGCCCUUUCGAGCACAACAAACUCUAAAAAAAAAUAUCUAUUUUGAGAGAAACCAUUCUUGUAAAAGAAAAACAUUGAGAGAAAAAGUAGAUGGAACAUGGCAUAACAUUCAUUAAUUCGAUCUAACAAAAUUGAUAUCUAAGAUGUGUGAGUGUUGUAAAUCCUUCAAAUUUACAAGGAUUCAAGUCCUUGAACAAAAAGUCGAGCAAAAUCUUCCAUUUGUUGCUUGUUCAAAGUCAAACCAAUCUCAAUUCCACCAUCAUUAUUCCUAUUUCCCGAAAGAUAAAAAGCUCCUGGUCUAUCAACCGAAGUAACAUCAACUUUCUUAGGCUUACCCCACCCAAAAUCAAAACUAUACACCUCAAACCUAGGUGACCCGGUAAUAGAAAAAAUCUUAUAAGUCUCAUCCGUUCUAGAUGUUUUAGAUUGCAUCAUUGACAUCCAAUUUUCCAAACCAUUUAACACACCAUUUUCCAAAUCAUUCAACACAUCAAUUAUCCCUUUAAGAGCACUAAUAAACCCACCAUCUUCCAACAAUGCCUCAGUUUCAUGCACAACUAAUCUUGACACAAUACAAUUCCCAAAAUAAUUUUCAUUAAUUGGUGGAUCCAAGCGUGACCUACAAUCAACAGCAAAAACCAAAAAUGCCUUAUUGGGUUUUUGUUGGUCAACUUUAACCCCUAAUGACAACAAAUAAGCACAUGUAACCGCAAAAGUUGAAACCUUUUUAUUUUCAACCUUAGAUUGUGCAUAUUUCUUAAGCUUUUGAAUAUCCAAAAGUGAUAAUUCAAACAAACCUUUGAUUGCUUCACCUUUUGUUGCACUUAUUGUUUGCCAAACCUUUAAGCUACGAUUAUUUGUUUCUCCACCAAAAUUCAUCCAUUUUUUUGAAUGAAUUUCAUUUAUUCCUAAAGGGUCUUUUAUAAUGGACCUAUCAAAAAAAGGUGUUAGAUUUUGAGGUAAAAACAAAGAGGGUGUGUUUUUUUCAAGGUUGGAACAAAAAUAAGACCAAGCUUUCAUAAACAAGGUUGAAGAUUUUCCAUCAACAGCUGCAUGGUGUGUGGUUAUACCAAUACAAAAUCCAUGGUUAGGAAAAAAAGUGACUUGUAGUGAAAUAAUUGAUGCUUUUUCAUGUGAAAUUUCCAAACUUGGGAUUAAGUUUUUUCUUUUUUCAACUUCACAAAGAUUGGAACAUAAAAUAUUGAAAUUUUCAUUUGACUCAGCUACAAUUAAGGGAAUGGAAUCACUAGGGACAUAGUUGAUGAUGGGAUGUGAUGAAUCUUG
rnacentral:lncRNA from 1 species